UGAGGAAUAUUGGUCAAUGGACGGAAGUCUGAACCAGCCAAGUAGCGUGCAGGAUGACGGCCCUAUGGGUUGUAAACUGCUUUUGUAUGGGGAUAAAGUUAGGGACGUGUCCCUAUUUGCAGGUACCAUACGAAUAAGGACCGGCUAAUUCCGUGCCAGCAGCCGCGGUAAUACGGAAGGUCCAGGCGUUAUCCGGAUUUAUUGGGUUUAAAGGGAGCGUAGGCUGGAGAUUAAGUGUGUUGUGAAAUGUAGACGCUCAACGUCUCAAUUGCAGCGCAUACUGGUUUCCUUGAGUACGCACAACGUUGGCGGAAUUCGUCGUGUAGCGGUGAAAUGCUUAGAUAUGACGAAGAACUCCGAUUGCGAAGGCAGCUGACGGGAGCGCAACUGACGCUUAAGCUCGAAGGUGCGGGUAUCAAACAGG
rnacentral:rRNA from 1 species